rnacentral:rRNA from 1 species
AUAGAACGCUGGCGGAAUGCUUUACACAUGCAAGUCGAACGGCAGCACGGACUUCGGUCUGGUGGCGAGUGGCGAACGGGUGAGUAAUAUAUCUGAACAUGCCCAGUCGUGGGGGAUAACGUAGUGAAAAUUACGCUAAUACCGCAUACGAUCUAUGGAUGAAAGCGGGGGAUCGCAAGACCUCGCGCGAUUGGAGCGGCGGAUAUCAGAGUAGGUAGUUGGUGAGGGAAAGGCGCACCAAGCCGACGAGCUGUAGCUGGUCUGAGAGGACGACCAGCUACACUGGAACUGAGACACGGUCCAGACUCCUACGGGAGGCAGCAGUGGGGAAUUUUGGAGAAUGGACGCAAGUCUGAUCCAGCCAUUCCGCGUGCAGGACGAAGGCCUUCGGGUUGUAAACUGCUUUUGUACAGAACGAAAAGGUCUCUAUUAAUACUAGGGGCUCAUGACGGUACUGUAAGAAUAAGCACCGGCUAACUACGUGCCAGCAGCCGCCGUAA